rnacentral:lncRNA from 1 species
CCAAAGGAAAGAAAACUAUGUAAGGCAAAUAUGAAGAGAACAAUCCGUGUGUGAGUACGUGUAUUUGCCAAACCACCCUUCUUCACUUUUCAAAGUUUCUACAACAAUCCUAUUAUUUUUACAAUUAAAAAAGAGACAUGCAGAAGAAACAAGAUGAUUUUAAAAAGCUUUGUUUAAAAAAAAGGAUUCAGGGAAGCACAGCUAAUUCCCACGUGAAAAACAUCAGGCCAGGCUUAUGAUCUGUUUGGGUUACCCAAGCCACUCUGCAAGCAACGCAAGGGAGAAGCGGGCAGCCAUCCCCUGCACCAGGCUAGAGCAGCCACAGCCCUGAACCACACGAGCCCUGCCAGCAGAGCGA